rnacentral:rRNA from 1 species
AUGAACGCUGGCGGCGUGCCUAACACAUGCAAGUCGAACGGAGCUGCUUUGAUGAAGUUUUCGGAUGGAUUUAAAACAGCUUAGUGGCGGACGGGUGAGUAACGCGUGGGUAACCUGCCUCACACUGGGGGAUAACAGUUAGAAAUAGCUGCUAAUACCGCAUAAGCGCACAGUUCCGCAUGGAACAGUGUGAAAAACUCCGGUGGUGUGAGAUGGACCCGCGUCUGAUUAGCCAGUUGGCGGGGUAACGGCCCACCAAAGCGACGAUCAGUAGCCGGCCUGAGAGGGUGAACGGCCACAUUGGGACUGAGACACGGCCCAAACUCCUACGGGAGGCAGCAGUGGGGAAUAUUGCACAAUGGGGGAAACCCUGAUGCAGCGACGCCGCGUGAGUGAAGAAGUAUUUCGGUAUGUAAAGCUCUAUCAGCAGGGAAGAAAGUGACGGUACCUGAAUAAGAAGCCCCGGCUAACUACGUGCCAGCAGCCGCGGUAAUACGUAGGGGGCAAGCGUUAUCCGGAUUUACUGGGUGUAAAGGGAGCGUAGACGGCAAGGCAAGUCUGAAGUGAAAGCCCGGUGCUUAACGCCGGGACUGCUUUGGAAACUGUUUGGCUGGAGUGCCGGAGAGGUAAGCGGAAUUCCUAGUGUAGCGGUGAAAUGCGUAGAUAUUAGGAAGAACACCAGUGGCGAAGGCGGCUUACUGGACGGUAACUGACGUUGAGGCUCGAAAGCGUGGGGAGCAAACAGGAUUAGAUACCCUGGUAGUCCACGCUGUAAACGAUGAUUGCUAGGUGUAGGUGGGUAUGGACCCAUCGGUGCCGCAGCUAACGCAAUAAGCAAUCCGCCUGGGGAGUACGUUCGCAAGAAUGAAACUCAAAGGAAUUGACGGGGGCCCGCACAAGCGGAGGAACAUGUGGUUUAAUUCGAUGAUACGCGAGGAACCUUACCCGGGCUUGAAUUGCAACUGAAUGAUGUGGAGACAUGUCAGCCGCAAGGCAGUUGUGAAGGUGCUGCAUGGUUGUCGUCAGCUCGUGUCGUGAGAUGUUGGGUUAAGUCCCGCAACGAGCGCAACCCUUAUUCUUAGUAGCCAGCAGGUAAGGCUGGGCACUCUAAGGAGACUGCCGGGGAUAACCCGGAGGAAGGUGGGGAUGACGUCAAAUCAUCAUGCCCCUUAUGAUCUGGGCUACACACGUGCUACAAUGGCGUAACAAAGGGAAGCGAGCCUGCGAGGGUGAGCAAAUCCCAAAAAUAACGUCCCAGUUCGGACUGUAGUCUGCAACCCGACUACACGAAGCUGGAAUCGCUAGUAAUCGCAGAUCAGAAUGCUGCGGUGAAUACGUUCCCGGGUCUUGUACACACCGCCCGUCACACCAUGAGAGCCGGGGGGACCCGAAGUCGGUAGUCUAACCGCAAGGAGGACGCCGCCGAAGGUAAAACUGGUGAUUGGGGUG